AAAAGAGUAAGGUUUCACAGACAGGGUAUAAGAAAAUAGUCUAUGAAGAAAAUAGAGAGUGAGCGAUAUUGUAGUGAGAUGGAAAUAUCAAAAGAGAGUUAUUUUCUUUUGAGUGUUGUAGUGGUCUUUGGAGUAUUUUACUCGGACCUACAAAGCGUAAAAUUCUUUACUAUAGUGAUAUCAGUUGCUCCUCUCAGGGCCGUGGUUUUUUCCCUUAUUCAGAAGAGUUUUCCACGUAAAAAUCUUGGUGUCAUUGUUACUCUUUUUAUUCUUG
rnacentral:lncRNA from 1 species